GGGGCGAUAGUAUAAUCUGGUAGUAUGGCCGCCUCCAGAGCGGCACAUCUCGGUUCAAAUCCGGGUCGCCCCA
rnacentral:tRNA from 1 species